AGGAUGAACGCUAGCGAUAGGCUUAACACAUGCAAGUCGAGGGGCAUCACGAGGUAGCAAUACUUUGGUGGCGACCGGCGUACGGGUGCGUAACACGUAUGCAACCUUCCUGUAAGUGUGGGAUAGCCUCCUGAAAGGGAGAUUAAUACCUCAUGAUAUGUAUUUGCUGCAUGGCAUUUACAUUAAACAUUUAUGGCUUACAGAUGGGCAUGCGUUCCAUUAGGCAGUUGGUGUGGUAACGGCUCACCAAACCUACGAUGGAUAGGGGUUCUGAGAGGAAGGUCCCCCACACUGGAACUGAGACACGGUCCAGACUCCUACGGGAGGCAGCAGUGAGGAAUAUUGGUCAAUGGGCGCGAGCCUGAACCAGCCACGUCGCGUGAAGGAUGACGGCCUUAUGGGUUGUAAACUUCUUUUACAGGGGAAUAAAGUGAGUCACGUGUGAUUUUUUGCAUGUACCCUGUGAAUAAGCAUCGGCUAACUCCGU
rnacentral:rRNA from 1 species